rnacentral:misc_RNA from 1 species
GCAAACUUGGUCAUUUAGAGGAAGUAAAAGUCGUAACAAGGUCUCCGUAGGUGAACCUGCGGAGGGAUCAUUACAGGACUCGUGCCCGCGGGGCCGACCUCCUAACCACUGUCAUCAUUACCAUUGUUGCUUUGGCGGGCGUCCGCCCGCGGAUGCCCGCCAAAGGCCCCGCAGAUUCGAGCCGUCGGCGUCGUCAGAGGCCCAUUUAGUAGUCAAAACUUUCAACAACGGAUCUCUUGGUUCUGGCAUCGAUGAAGAACGCAGC